UUUUGUGGAUGAUAAUUAAGACAUUAUAUAAGUUAUUACAUCAGUGCAUGUAAUAAAACUGUGUGCACAAAUGAUGGGUUGCAAAGCCCAUACGCGCGCGCCGCCGCCACCUGCCCGGCCUCGGUCCCCGACCUUGACCGUGGACUUGGAUCUUGGCAAUUGGUUCUUGGGCUGGUCUUUGGGCCUACCCUUAGCUCCCAAAGGACCAACGAUUUCUCGGUCCAAAGAACGAGGCCCAAUCGUUUGGGCCCACACGUGCACAAGGGGCUCGACCCGACGGGAGGACCCGUUGGUCUCCCAACUAGAAGCUUCCACACCUCCAUAACUCGCGUCAUUAUUGGACGUGAGGGAGUUACAACGUAACUGCCGC
rnacentral:lncRNA from 1 species